GGUCGCCCACCCUGGGAAGUGCCUAACCUUUUAUUUUAUUUUAUUUUUUUGAGGAAAAAGAACGCCUGACUCACAGGUUGAAGAAACACCCUGGGCCCUCUCUCAUGGCCGGGUUCCCCGUCCCUCUGCAGAGGCUGGGAAGGGUCCCCGGGCUGGAGCCACGGGGGCUUCUCUGGGCUGUGCCUCCGGGGCCAACACUGGCUGCUUGGGGCUGCCCGGGGACUCCAGAGGGCUGCACGGCCACCCUGCCCUGGCUAGAGCGCACCCCACCGGAGCCCACGUGGGCUGGGCGGCUGGAGGGAUGGUCCCCCGGUGACACUGGGAGAAAGGCCACUUGGAUGGGGGCGUUUCUGUUUUGUUCCGCUUUGUGAUGUCACCAAUUUGGAAACAGCGAGGGUGGGUGGGGACUUUUACAGAAUAUUCUCAGGUGUGUACCCGAGAGGCAGAGAGAGGGACGUGGCCGGCAGCUCUGUGCGUGGCCUUGUCCCAAGCACUUGCGCCCGCCCCCGAGCGCCGCCCCCGGGGAGCGGGAAGCCAGCACUCGCACUUUGGCCAGGGGCGCGUGGAAGGUGGUGGCAGGCACCGGCCUGGGCAGCUUCCAGGCCUGGCUGGCCACGACCACGGCCCGAGGGGGAGCCCGCCAGGCCACGCCGCACUGAGCCACAGCCCCGGGGGCCGCCUCCCGGGGCCCCUUGAGGCACUGAGGCACCGAGACUGGUUCUCCCCGAGAGACUCGGAAGGUGGGGAACGAGGGGACUGUGUUUGGGGAGGUGGCUUUUUCGUCUGCUGUUGACUGAACACUACAGCGCCCUGUGGUUCCGGGCUUCGCACAGCUGUCCCAGGGAUGGAUCGCCUGUGCUGCCUUCGCCCGCCGCCACACCGGGACCCUGCACGGCUGCUUCUGGCCUCGACAGAUGACAAAAGAAACAGCCCCAAAAUACGACCACUCCAACCAGCAGUUCCCGCCUGCCUGCCCGCCACUGUCAGGCCUGCCCUGGCCUCCUCGUCCGCAGGGCUGUCUGCUGGCUUCUGGGGGCAGAAGAGCGGGGAGCCCCGUGGAAGGGUCAGGGGAGACCAGGUCAGGGCAGCUACAUUUCUGGUGAUCAGCCCCAUGGGGAGACGGGGCUGGCGGGAUACCCCCCCCCCGGCUUCCCCACACCACUUCUGUCUCACCCGGAAGCGUCCUUUUUUUGUGCCAGGUGUCUACCUAAGAGGGUUGGUGCCAGAAGCCCCCCAUGGCGAGUGCUGGGGCCCGGCGGUGCCCUGGGGGAGCAGAUGGGGCCACCCCUGGCAGGGCCGCUACAACCUUUUCCAGCAGCGGAGCCCUCUGGGGGGCCUGUGCUUGUGGCAUCUCUGAGGGCCUAGAUUGCACAAGGUGACCUGGCCGUGGCCUGAGGGUGGAGUCGCCCAGCACGCAGGCCGGGGCGCUGCGGGGCUAAGUAUUAGGCCUUCCCAGGGAGGGGGCGUGCCAAGCAUCCCAGAGCCGGGCUGGGACCGCCAAAACGUCGUGGCCUGGAUCCUCUGGGUCUGAGUGCCUGAUCCCCUGCCCCCCAAAAAAGCAGAGGUAGGUGUUGCAGGCCCAGGGCAGGGGUGCCUGCCCCAGGAGAGUCCCAGGCAGUGGUUCUCGUGCCAGUGGCACCCAGGGGCAAGGACAGCCAACCCCCACCCUUGCCACGUGUGGGGCCACGUGGGCAUGUGGGGUGUGUGUUUUUACCUUGGUGAAUCUCACCUGCCAACGAUUUCUCGUGAGUGCCGACCACCUUCUCCGACCAUGUUACGCCCGGGCGGCAGCAGCCCCCGGCCACUGCAAACCCAUGCCCUGGGUCCCCCGGCUCCCCCAGGGAGGCAUCCCCGUGCCAAUGUCCCCCAGUGGUGGCAGCAGAUCCUGUGGCCGGCCUGGCGGACGGGACCCAGUGAUACUUGUAUAUUACACAGUCCUGAUUUCAGACAAUUUCAACCUUAAUCUAUUUAAAAAAGAAUAUUCUAUACAAGCUGUUUUUAAGCCUUUUACCAUUUGAAAUGCAUGUGUUGUGCGCGUUGGGGAUGGGAGGAGGGGCUGAGGAGCGGCUCAGUGUCACCUCCCACAGCCACCGGCCCUGACCCUUAAUCCAGACACCGAUGGAAGUCGACUUUUCAUAUCUUUCUCCUGAAAUGAACUCUGUUUUAAAUUGGAAUAAAUUUUGUUCCU
rnacentral:lncRNA from 1 species